rnacentral:rRNA from 1 species
GACGAACGCUGGCGGCGUGCUUAACACAUGCAAGUCGAGCGGUAAGGCCCUUUCGGGGGUACACGAGCGGCGAACGGGUGAGUAACACGCGGGUGACCUGCCCUCAGCUCUGGGAUAAGCCUGGGAAACUGGGUCUAAUACUGGAUAUGACUCCACGGUGCAUGUCGUGGGGUGGAAAGCCUUGUGCGGCUGAGGAUGGGCCCGCGGCCUAUCAGCUUGUUGGUGGGGUGANGGCCUACCAAGGCGACGACGGGUAGCCGGGCCUGAGAGGGCGACCGGCCACACUGGGACUGAGACACGGCCCAGACUCCUACGGGAGGCAGCAGUGGGGAAUCUUGCGCAAUGGGCGAAAGCCUGACGCAGCGACGCCGCGUGAGGGAUGACGGCCU